rnacentral:misc_RNA from 1 species
AUUCUUCACUUCCACAAUACGUAGUAGAUAAGACUCUAGAUUAAAUAUUAUUGUAAGGUUUAUGGUGAUCAGCACAAAGACAAAAGUAUAUUAAAUUUGUUCAAAACUUUCUAUCAGGAAUACAGAAAAUGGAAUUAAAAAAAUGAUAUUUCAACAUUGCGUGCUUGGAUACCCGAUCAACUUUCUUCUUGUGCUCAACCAGUGAAGUGAGGAAUCUGAAGAAGGACAUCCAAGUUAAAUCUACUUCCUUCCACGGUUAAGCCUCUGCAGGUGGUAAUUAAUGCUACCCCAAGACUUUCUUUUGCUGGUAGCCUGAGCAUCCAUACAGGCAUUCAACAGUUCCUUUUGCCGGACACAUUUAUCAAUAUCUGAUUGGUUAAGAGACACGCAAUUGAGAAAUGUUAUCAAUUCCUUCAUGCAAGGUUUCGUGAGAGAGCCAUAUUUCUUUGGGUUAAUGUAUAUGGUUCCAGCUUUCCGACCCAUUAUUCCAGUGUAAACUCUGGCCCUACUAGGGCAGCAGCUACAAGACGGAGCAGCCGAGAAUCAAUCCUGUGAUUCUGCGAUCUCAACGGAGCAGGACGGCGCAGCAGCUAGAGAUCGAAGACGGGGCAACAGAUAUUCGAUUCUACAAUUCUGGACAGAGACCCAGCCGUGCAUGCAUCGAGAUUGAUCGGCGACGGUGAGAUUGAGGGGCUGCGCUAAGAGACGAUGACGUUGACAGACACAGAGAGACUUUGAGCUAUCAAGCUAACAAAAAGAAUAGGGCAGUUGCAAAAUGUAAAGAGCAA